rnacentral:rRNA from 1 species
GAUGAACGCUGGCGGCGUGCUUAACACGUGCAAGUCGAACGGGAAACCUUUUAUUGAAGCUUCGGCAGAUUUAGCUGGUUUCUAGUGGCGGACGGGUGAGUAACGCGUGGGUAACCUGCCUUAUACAGGGGGAUAACAGUCAGAAAUGGCUGCUAAUACCGCAUAAGCGCACAGAGCUGCAUGGCUCAGUGUGAAAAACUCCGGUGGUAUAAGAUGGACCCGCGUUGGAUUAGCUGGUUGGUGGGGGAACGGCCCACCAAGGCGACGAUCCAUAGCCGGCCUGAGAGGGUGAACGGCCACAUUGGGACUGAGACACGGCCCAGACUCCUACGGGAGGCAGCAGUGGGGAAUAUUGCACAAUGGGGGAAACCCUGAUGCAGCGACGCCGCGUGAAGGAAGAAGUAUCUCGGUAUGUAAACUUCUAUCAGCAGGGAAGAUAAUGACGGUACCUGACUAAGAAGCCCCGGCUAACUACGUG